rnacentral:rRNA from 1 species
UACGGGGGGAGCAAGCGUUGUUCGGAUUUACUGGGCGUAAAGGGCGCGUAGGCGGCGCGACAAGUCACUUGUGAAAUCUCCGGGCUUAACUCGGAGCGGCCAAGUGAUACUGUCGUGCUAGAGUGCGGAAGGGGCAACUGGAAUUCUCGGUGUAGCGGUGAAAUGCGUAGAUAUCGAGAGGAACACCUGCGGCGAAGGCGGGUUGCUGGGCUGAUACUGACGCUGAGGCGCGAAAGCCAGGGGAGCGAACGGG